GGCUUGGUUAGAGAGAAUCGAAGCUUAGAGAGAGAGAGAGCGUGAAACCUAGAAAGAGUCAUCUUUUCCCUCCACCCAACCACCCACUGUCGGAGGGCCGUCGUAGUGCCGUCGGAGUGUCGUCGUUCCUAGAAAGAGUGUCGCUUCCUCCCACCCAACCAUUUUCGUUGUCUGCCGGAGUGCCGCCUGAGGAAGUAUUGUUUGUUCUGGUGACCGGCGUUGUUCAAAGCUUUGAUUGCAACGGCCACCGAAAAGGACGCGUUUUUGUCGUUCCGCAGUCGUAUCAGCGUUUGUGCGUCUUCCUCCCACCCAACCAUUUUCGUGUCUCUUCCCAGAAGCGUCGCUUUCCGUUGUCAAAAUUUGCAGUCCGCCGGAGUGUUGCUGGUAGCCGAGAGGAAAAAAGAGAGGUACAAGCAGGUUCGUAAAAGACCAAUGAAUAAGAAAGAAUUAGCAAAAAAUGAGGAAGACAUUAUAGAAACAUAUUCCAAUUCUAUAACCGUGCACGAGACUAAACUAAAGACUUCCACAAUACAAGUAGUAGAAAUGAAGUUUCUUGCUCAGCGAAGGGAUCUUCAGAUACCGGAUAUUGAAAAGUGCUUAGAUGUUGGGAGAAAGCCUAAAAUUAAGAUAACGUCAAGAGUUUGGGGAUAAAGCGUUUUGUGGAAGUGAAGAUCCUUGUUAAAUUACGCCGGUUCAACAUUAUCACCAAACCUCGAGGUUUAAACGUCAGGAUGAAUGAAGCAAAGCACAAUGUAUGAUCGAAUGAAGGUUGUACCUCGAAGAUGGUUCAAGAUCAAGAGUCGAGCGAAUAGAACUUCAUUUACUGUAGAUGAUAGAAGAAAAGAAUGAAUAGUUGAAUAAUUUGUAGUGAUUUUUAAAUGUUAAGAACUUUAGUUGACGAUGUUCAAGUAGAAUAGGAAAUGUAAAUGUUUGUUAAUA